CUGUUUUUUGGCCAUUUUUCCGCUGGGGGGUCUUGGGACCACGAUCUUCGGGGGCUGUUUUUUGGGCGCGGCUGUGCCCGUGGCCUAUUUUUGGCACACGGAGGCCGCCCGCCAUGUCUGGUGCCAUUCCGAGUCCCGCGGACGAACUUCGCCCACGCCCCCCACCAAGGCUAUAGCCCACCCGAUUUUUGGCCAUAUAGCCUUGCUGGGGGGUCUUGGCACCCCGACCUUCGGGGGCUGAUUUUUUGGCGCGUCUGUGCCCGUGGCCUAUUUUUGGCGCACGGAGGCCGCCCUCAAAGUCUGGGGCGAUUCCGAGUCCGGUGGACGAACUUCGCCCGCGCACCCCCCAAGGCAUUAGCCCACCCGUUUUUUGGCCAUUUUUCCGCUGGGGGGUCUUGGCACCCCGACCUUCGGGGGCUGAUUUUUCGGCACGGCUGUGCCCGUGGCCUAUUUUUGGCACACGGAGGCUGCCCGCAAAGUCUGGGGCCAUUCCGAGUCCGGCGGCCGAACUUCGCCCACGGCCCCCACCAAGGCUAUAGCCCACCCGUUUUUUGGCCAUAUACCUUGCUGGGGGGUCUUGGCACCCCGACGUUCAGGGGCUGAUUUUUGGGCGCGGCUGUGCCCGUGGCCUAUUUUUGGCACACGUAGACCGCCCGCAAAGUCUGGGGCCAUUCCGAGUCCGGCGGAAGAACUUCGCCCACGCCCCCCACCAUGGCUAUAGCCCACCCGUUUUUUGGCCAUAUAGCCUUGCUGGGGGGUCUUGGCACCCCGACCUUCGGUGGCUGAUUUUUGGGCGCGACUGUGCCCGUGGCCUAUUUUUGGCACACGGAAGCCGCCCGCAAAGUCUGGGGCCAUUCCGAGUCCUGCGGAAGAACUUCGCCCACGCCCACCACCAAGGCUAUAGCCCACCUGUUUUUUGGCCAUAUAGCCUUGAUGGGGGGUCUUGGCACCCCGACCUUCGGGGGCUGCCUAUUUUUGGCACACGGAGGUCGUCCGGAAAGUCUGGGGCCAUUCCGAGUCCGGCGGACGAACUUCGCCCACAGCCCCCACCAAGGCUAUAGACCACCCGUUUUUUGGCCAUUUUUCCGCUGGGGGGUCUUGGCACCCCGAUCUUCGGGGGCUGAUUUUUGGGCGCGGCUGUGCCCGUAACCUAUUUUGGGCACACGGAGCCCGCCCGCAAAGUCUGGGUGCCAUUCCGAGUCCGGCGGACGAACUUCGCCCACGCCCCCCGCCAAGGCUAUAGCCCACCCGUUUUUUGGACAUAUAGCCUUGCUGGGGGGUCUUGGCACCCCGACCUUCGGGGGCUGAUUUUUGGGCGCGGCUGUGCCCGUGGCCUAUUUUUAGCAGACGGAGGCCGCCCGCAAAGUCUGGGGCCAUUCCGAGUCCGGCGGACGAACUUUGCCCACGCCCCCCACCAAGGCAAUAGCCCACCCGUUUUUUGGAUAUUUUUCCGUUGGGGGGUAUUGGCACCCCGACUUUCGGGGGUUGAUUAAUGGGUGUGGAUGUGCCCGUGGCCUAAUUUGGCACACGGAGGCCGCCCUCAAAGUCUGGGGCCAUUCCGAGUCCGGCGGACGAACUUCGCCCGCGCCCCCCACCAAGGCAAUAGCCCACCAGUUUUUUGGCCAUUUUUUCGCUGGGGGGUCUUGGCACCCCGACCGUCGGGGGCUGAUUUUUGGGCGCGGCUGUGCCCGUGGCCUAUUUUUGGCGCACGGAGACCGCCCGCAAAGUCUGGGGCCAUUCUGAGUCCGGCGGACGAACUUCGACCGCGCCCCCCACCAAGGCUAUAGCCCACCCGUUUUUUGGACAUAUAACCUUGCUGGGGGGUCAUGGCACCCCGAGCUUCGGGGGAUGAUUUUUGGGCGCGGCUGUGCCCGUGGCCUAUUUUUGGCACAAGGAGACCGCCCGCAAAGUCUGGGGCCAUUCCGAGUCCGGCGUACGAACUUCGCUCGCGCCCCCCACCAAGGCUAUAGCCCACCCGUUUUUUUGGCCAUAUAGCCUUGCUGGGGGGUCUUGGCACCCCGACCUUCGGGGGCUGAUUUUUGGGCGCGGAUGUGCCCGUGGCCUAUUUUUGGCACACGCAGGCCGCCCUCAAAGUCUGGGGCCAUUCCGAGUCCGGCGGACGAACUUCGCCCGCGCCCCCCACCAAGGCAAUAGCCCACCCGUUUUUUGGCCAUUUUUCCGCUGGGGGGUCUUGGCACCCCGACCUUCGGGGGCUGAUUUUUGGGCGCGGCUGUGCCCGUGGCCUAUUUUUGGCGAACGGAGACCGCCCGCAAGAGUCUGGGGCCAUUCCGGGUCUGGCGGACGAACUCGGCCACGCACCCCACCAAGGGCUAUAGCCCACCCGUUUUUUGGCCAUAUAGCCUUGCUGGGGGGUCUUGGCACCCCGACAUUCGGGGGCUGAUUUUUGGGCGCGGCUGUGCCCGUGGCCUAUUUUUAGCAGACGGAGGCCGCCCGCAAAGUCUGGGGCCAUUCCGAGUCCGGCGGACGAACUUCGCCCACGCCCCCCACCAAGGCAAUAGCCCACCCGUUUUUUGGCUAUUUUUCCGCUGGGGGGUCUUGGCACCCCGACCUUCGGGGGCUGAUUUUUGGGCGCGGAUGUGCCCGUGGCCUAUUUUUGGCACACGGAGGCCGCCCUCAAAGUCUGGGGCCAUUCCGAGUCCGGCGGACGAACUUCGCCCGCGCCCCCCACCAAGGCAAUAGCCCACCCGUUUUUUGGCCAUUUUUCCGCUGGGGGGUCUUGGCACCCCGACCGUCGGGGGCUGAUUUUUGGGCGCGGCUGUGCCCGUGGCCUAUUUUUGGCGCACGGAGACCGCCCGCAAAGUCUGGGGCCAUUCCGAGUCCGGCGGACGAACUUCGACCGCGCCCCCCACCAAGGCUAUAGCCCACCCGUUUUUUGGCCAUAUAGCCUUGCUGGGGGGUCUUGGCACCCCGACCUUCGGGGGCUGAUUUUUGGGCGCGGCUGUACCCGUGGCCUAUUUUUGGCGAACGGAGACCGCCCGCAAAGUCUGGGGCCAUUCCGGGUCUGGCGGACGAACUUCGGCCACGCACCCCACCAAGGCUAUAGCCCACCCGUUUUUUGGCCAUAUAGCCUUGCUGGGGGGUCUUGGCACCCCGACCUUCGGGGGCUGAUUUUGGGCUCGGCUGUGCCCGUGGCCUAUUUUUGGCGCACGGAGGCCGCCCGCAAAGUCUGGGGCCAUUCCGAGUCCGGCGGACGAACUUCGCCCGCGCCCCCCACCAAGGCAAUAGCCCACCCGUUUUUUGGCCAUUUUUCCGCUGGGGGGUCUUGGCACCCCUACUUUCGGGGGCUGAUUUUUGGGUGCGGCUGUGCCCGUGGCCUAUUUUUGGCACACGGUGGCCGCCCGCAAAGUCUGGGGCCAUUCCGAGUCCGGCGGACGAACUUCGCCGACGCCCCCCACCAAGGCUAUAGCCCACCCGUUUUUUGGCCAUUUUUCCGCCGGCGAGUGUUGGCACCCCGACCUUUGGGCGCUCAUUUUUGGGCGCGGCCGAGCCCGUGGCCUAUAUUUGGCACACGGAGGCUGCCCGCAAAGUCUGGGGCCAUUCCGAGUCCGGCGGACUAACUUCGCCCACGCCCCCCACCAAGGCUAUAGGCCACCCAUUUUUUGGCCAUUUUUCCGCUGGGGGGUGUUGGCGCCCCGACCUUCGGGCGCUCAUUUUUGGGCCCAGCUGUGCCCGUGUCCUAUUUUUGGCACACGGAGGCCGCCCGCAAAGUCUGGGGGUAUUCCGAGUCCGGCGGACGAACUUCGCCCACGCCCCCCACCAAGGCUAUAGCCCACCCAUUUUUUGGCCAUUUUUCCGCCGGCGAGUGUUGGCACCCCGACCUUCGGGCGCUCAUUUUUGGGCGCGGCUGAGCCCGUGGCCUAUAUUUGGCACACGGAGGCCGCCCGCAAAGUCUGGGGCCAUUCUGAGUCCGGCGGACAAACUUCGCCCGCGCCCCCCACCAAGGCUAUAGCCCACCCGUUUUUUGGCCAUUUUUCCGCCGGCGAGUGUUGGCACCCCGACCUUCGGGCGUUCAUUUUUGGGCGCGGCCGAGCCCGUGGCCUAUAUUUGGCACACAGAGGCUGCCCGCAAAGUCUGGGGCCAUUCCGAGUCCGGCGGACGAACUUCGCCCACGCCCCCCACCAAGGCUAUAGGCCACCCAUUUUUUGGCCAUUUUUCCGCUGGGGGGUGUUGGCGCCCCGACCUUCGGGCGCUCAUUUUUGGGCGCAGCUGAGCCCGUGGCCUAUAUUUGGCACACGGAGGCCUCCCGCAAAGUCUGGGGCCAUUCCGAGUCCGGCGGACAAACUUCGCCCGCGCCGCCCACCAAGGCUAUAGCCCACCCGUUUUUUGGCCAUUUUUCCGCUGGGGGGUUUUGGCACCACGACCUUCGGGAGCAUAUUUUUGGGCGCGGCUGUGCCCGCGACUUCCCGCAGGCACCCCAAGGCCCCUCGCAAAGUCUCGCCCCAUUCCGAGUCCGGCGGACGAACUUCGCCCGCGCCCCCCACCAAGGCUAUAGCCCACCCAUUUUUGGGCCAUUUUUCGCCGGGGGGUUUUGGCACCAUGAACUUCCGGUGCUUAAUUUUGGGCGCGGCUGUGCCCGCGACUUCCCGCGGGCACCCCGAGGCCCCUCGCAAAGUCUCGCCCCAUUCCGAGUCCGGCGGACGAACUUCGCCGGCGGCCCCCAUUAAGGCUAUAACCCACCCGUUUUUUGGCCAUUUUUCAGCUGGGGGGUUUUGGCACCAUGACCUUCGGGUGCUUAUUUUUGGGCGCGGCUGUGCCCGCGACUUCCCGCUGGCACCCCGAGCUUCCUCGCAAAGUCUCGCCCCAUUCCGAGUCCGGCGGACGAACUUCGCCCGCGCCCCCCACCAAGGCUAUAGCCCACCCGUUUUUUGGCCAUUUUUCCGCUGGGGGGUUUUGGCAUCACGACCUUCGGGUGCUUAUUUUUGGGCGCGGCCGUGCCCGCGACUUCCCGCGGGCACCCCGAGGCCCCUCGCAAAGUCUCGCCCCAUUCCGAGUCCGGCGGACGAACUUCGCCCGCGCCCCCCACCAAGGCUAUAGCCCACCCGUUUUUUGGCCAUUUUUCCGCUGGGAGGUUUUGGCACCACGACCUUCGGGCGCUUAUUUUUGGGCGCGGCUGUGCCCGCGACUGCCCGCGGGCAUACCGAGGCCCCUCGGAAAGUCUCGCCCCAUUCCGAGUCCGGCGGACGAACUUCGCCCGCGCCCCCCACCAAGGCUAUAGCCCACCCAUUUUUUGGCCAUUUUUCCGCUGGGGGGUUUUGGCACCACGACCUUCGGGUGCUUAUUUUUGGGCGCGGCUGUGCCCGUGAUUUCCCGCGGGCACCCCGAGGCCCCUCGCAAAGUCUCGCCCUAUUCCGAGUCCGGCGGACGAACUUCGCCCGCGCCCCCCACCAAGGCUAUAGCCCACCCAUUUUUUGGCCAUUUUUCCGCUGGGGGGUUUUGGCACCACGACCUUCGGGUGCUUAUUUCUGGGCGCGUCUGUGCCCGCGACUUCCCGCGGGUACCCCGAGGGCCCUCGCAAAGUCUCGCCCCAUUCCGAGUCCGGCGGACGAACUUCGCCCGCGCCCCCCACCAAGGCUAUAGCCCACCCGUUUUUUGGCCAUUUUUCCGCUGGGGGGUUUUGGCACCACGACCUUCGGGAGCUUAUUUUUAGGCGCGGCUUUGCCCGCGGCUUAUUUUUGGCACCCCGAGGCCCCUCGCAAAGUCUCGCCCCAUUCCGAGUCCGGCGGACGAACUUCGCCCGCGCCCCCCACCAAGGCUAUAGCCCACCCGUUUUUUGGCCAUUUUUCCGCUGGGGGGUUUUGGCACCACGACCUUCGGGUGCUUAUUUUUGGGCGCGGCUGUGCCCGCGACUUCCCGCGGGCACCCCGAGGCCCCUCGCAAAAGCUCGCCCCAUUCCGAGUCCGGCGGACGAACUUCGCCCGCGCCCCCCACCAAGGCUAUAGCCCACCCGUUUUUUGGCCAUUUUUCCGCUGGGGGGUUUUGGAACCACGACCUUCGGGAGCUUAUUUUUGGGCGCGGCUUUGCCCGCGGCUUCUUUUUGGCACCCCGGAGGCCCCUCGCAAAGUCUCGCCCCAUUCCGAGUCCGGCGGACGAAUUUCGCCCGCGCCCCCCACCAAGGCUAUAGCCCACCCGUUUUUUGGCCAUUUUUCCGCUGGGGGGUUUUGGCACCACGACCUUCGGGCGCUUAUUUUUGGGCGCGGCUGUGCCCGCGACUUCCCACGGGCACGCCGAUGCCCCUCGCAAAGUCUCGCCGCAUUCCGAGUCCGGUGGACGAACUUCGCCCACGCCCCCCACCAAGGCUAUAGGCCACCCAUUUUUUGGCCAUUUUUCCCUCGGGGGUUUUGGCACCACGACCUUCGGGCGCUUAUUUUUGGGCACGGCUUUGCCCGCGGCUUAUUUUUGGCACCCCGAGGCCCCUCGCAAAGUCUCGCCCCAUUCCGAGUCCGGCGGACGAACUUCGUCCGCGCCCCCCACCAAGGCUAUAGCCAACCCAUUUUUGGGCCAUUUUUCCGCUGGGGGGUUUUGGCACCACGACCUUCGGGUGCUUAUUUUUGGGCGCGGCUUUGCCCGCGGCUUAUUUUUGGCACCCCGAGGCCCCUCGCAACGGCUCGCCCCAUUCCGAGUAUGGCGGACGAACUUCGCCCGCGGGCCCACCAAGGCUAUAGCCCACCCGUUUUUUGGCCAUUUUUCCGCUGGGGGGUUUUGGCACCACGACCUUCGGGAGCUUAUUUUUAGGCGCGGCUUUGCCCGCGGCUUAUUUUUGGCACCCCGAGGCCCCUCGCAAAGUCUCGCCCCAUUCCGAGUCCGACGGACGAACUUCGCCCGCGCCCCCCACCAAGGCUAUAGCCCACCCGUUUUUUGGCCAUUUUUCCGCUGGGGGGUUUUGGCACCACGACCUUCGGGUGCUUAUUUUUGGGCGCGGCUGUGCCCGCGACUUCCCGCGGGCACCUUGAGGCCCCUCGCAAAAUCUCGCCCCAUUCCGAGUCCGGCGGACGAACUUCGCCCGCGCCCCCCACCAAGGCUAUAGCCCACCCGUUUUUUGGCCAUUUUUCCGGUGGGGGGUUUUGGCACCAUGACCUUCGGGUGCUUAUUUUUGGGCGCGGCUUAGUCCGCGGCUUAUUUUUGGCACCCCGAGGCCCCUCGCAAAGUCUCGGCCCAUUCCGAGUCCGGCGGACGAACUUCGCCCGCGCCCCCCACCAAGCCUAUAGCCCACCCGUUUUUUGGCCAUUUUUCCGCUGGGGGGUUUUGGCACCACGACCUUCGGGUGCUUAUUUUUGGGCGCGGCUGUGCCCGCGACUUCCCGCGGGCACCCCGAGGCCCCUCGCAAAGUCUCGCCCCAUUCCGAGUCCGGCGGACGAACUUCGCCCGCGCCCCCCACCAAGGAUAUAGCCCACCCAUUUUUUGGCCAUUUUUCCGCUGGGGGGUUUUGGCACCACGACCUUCGGGUGCUUAUUUUUGGGCGCGGCUUUGCCCGCGGCUUACUUUUUGGCACCCCGAGGCCCCUCGCAACGGCUCGCCCCAUUCCGAGUAUGGCGGACGAACUUCGCCCGCGGGCCCACCAAGGCUAUAGCCCACCCGUUUUUGGCCAUUUUUCCGCGGUGGGUUUUGGCAACACGACCUUCGGUACUUAUUUUUGGGCGGGCUGUGCCCGCGACUUCCAGCGGGCACCCCGAGGGCCCUCGCAAUGUCUCGCCCCAUUCCGAGUCCGGCGGACGAAAUUCGCCCGCGCCCCCCACCAAGGCUAUAGCCCACCCGUUUUUUGGCCAUUUUUCCGCUGGGGGGUUUUGGCAACACGACCUUCGGGUGCUUAUUUUUGGACGUGGCUGUGCGCGCGACUUCCCGCGGGCACCCCGAGGCCCCUCGCAAAGUCUCGCCCCAUUCCGAGUCCGGCGGACGAACUUCGCCCGCGCCCCCCACCAAGGCUAUAGCCCACCCGUUUUUUGGCCAUUUUUCCGCUGGGGGGUUUUGGCACCACGACCUUCGGUCGUUUAUUUUUGGGCGCGACUUUGUCCGCGGCUUAUUUUUGGCACCCCGAGGCCCCUCGCAAAGUCUCGACCCAUUCCGAGUCCGGCGGACGAACUUCGCCCGCGCCCCCCACCAAGGCUAUAGCCCACCCGUUUUUUGGCCAUUUUUCCGCUGGGGGGUUUUGGCACCACGACCUUCGGGUGCUUAUUUUUGGGCGCGGCUGUGCCCGCGACUUCCAGCGGGCACCCCGAGGGCCCUCGCAAAGUCUCGCCCCAUUCCGAGUCCGGCGGACGAACUUCGCCCGCGCCCCCCACCAAGGCUAUAGCCCACCCGUUUUUUGGCCAUUUUUCCGCUGGGGAGUUUUGGCACCACGACCUUCGGGCGUUUAUUUUUGGGCGCGACUUUGCCCGCGGCUUAUUUUUAGUACCCCGAGGCCCCUCGCAAAGUCUCGCCCCAUUCCGAGUCCGGCGGACGAACUUCGCCCGCGCCCCCCUCCAAGGCUAUAGCCCACCCGUUUUUUGGCCAUUUUUCCGGUGGGGGGUUUUGGCACCACGACCUUCGGGCGCUUAUUUUUGGGCACGGCUUAGUCCGCGGCUUAUUUUUGGCACCCCGAGGCCCCUCGCAAAGUCUCGGCCCAUUCCGAGUCCGGCGGACGAACUUCGCCCGUGCCCCCCACCAAGCCUAUAGCCCACCCGUUUUUUGGCCAUUUUUCCGCUGGGCGGUUUUGGCACCAUGACCUUCGGGUGCUUAUUUUUGGGCGCGGCUGUGCCCGCGACUUCCCGCGGGCACCCCGAGGCCCCUCCCAAAGUCUCGCCCCAUUCCGAGUCCGGCGGACGAACUUCGCCCGCGCCCCCCACCAAGGAUAUAGCCCACCCAUUUUUUGGCCAUUUUUCCGCUGGGGGGUUUUGGCACCACGACCUUCGGGUGCUUAUUUUUGGGCGCGGCUUUGCCCGCGGCUUAUUUUUGGCACCCCGAGGCCCCUCGCAAAGGCUCGCCCCAUUCCGAGUAUGGCGGACGAACUUCGCCCGCGGGCCCACCAAGGCUAUAGCCCACCCGUUUUUUGGCCAUUUUUCCGCUGGGGGGUUUUGGCACCACGACCUUCGGGCGUUUAUUUUUGGGCGCGACUUUGCCCGCGGCUUAUUUUUGGCACCCCGAGGCCCCUCGCAAAGUCUCGCCCCAUUCCGAGUCCGGCGGACGAACUUCGCCCGCGCCCCCCACCAAGGCUAUAGCCCACCCGUUUUUUGGCCAUUUUUCCGCUGGUGGGUUUUGGCACCACGACCUUCGGGUGCUUAUUUUUGGGUGCGGCUGUGCCCGCGACUUCCCGCGGGCACCCCGAGGCCCCUCGCAAAGUCUCGUCCCAUUCCGAGUCCGGCGGACGAACUUCGCCCGCGCCCCCCACCAAGGCUAUAGCCCACCCGUUUUUUGGCCAUUUUUCCGCUGGGGGGUUUUGGCACCACGACCUUCGGGUGCUUAUUUUUGGACGUGGCUGUGCGAGCGACUUCCCGCGGGCACCCCGAGGCCCCUCGCAAAGUCUCGCCCCAUUCCGAGUCCGGCGGACGAACUUCGCCCGCGCCCCCCACCAAGGCUAUAGCCCACCCGUUUUUUGGCCAUUUUUCCGCUGGGGGGUUUUGGCACCACGACCUUCGGUCGUUUAUUUUUGGGCGCGACUUUGCCCGCGGCUUAUUUUUGGCACCCCGAGGCCCCUCGCAAAGUCUCGACCCAUUCCGAGUCCGGCGGACGAACUUCACCCGCGCCCCCCACCAGGCUAUAGCCCACCCGUUUUUUGGCCAUUUUUCCGCUGGGGGGUUUUGGCACCACGACCUUCGGUCGUUAAUUUUUGGGCGCGACUUUGCCCGCGGCUUAUUUUUGGCAUCCCGAGGCCCCUCGCAAAGUCUCGCCCCAUUCCGAGUCCGGCGGACGAACUUCGCCCGCGCCCCCCACCAAGGCUAUAGCCCACCCGUUUUUUGGCCAUUUUUCCGCUGGUGGGUUUUGGCACCACGACCUUCGGGUGCUUAUUUUUGGGCGCGGCUGUGCCCGCGACUUCCAGCGGGCACCCCGAGGGCCCUCGCAAAGUCUCGCCCCAUUCCGAGUCCGGCGGACGAACUUCGCCCGCGCCCCCCACCAAGGCUAUAACCCACCCGUUUUUUGGCCAUUUUUCCGCUGGGGGGUUUUGGCACCACGACCUUCGGGAGCUUAAUUUUGGGCGCGGCUUUGCCCGCGGCUUAUUUUUGGCACCCCGAAGCCCCUCGCAAAUUCUCGCCCCAUUCCGAGUCCGGCGGACGAACUUCGCCCGCGCCCCCCACCAAGGCUAUAGCCCACCCGUUUUUUGGCCAUUUUUCCGCUGAUGGGUUUUGGCACCACGACCUUCGGGUGCUUAUUUUUGGGCGCGGCUGUGCCCGCAACUUCCAGCGGCACCCCGAGGGCCCUCGCAAAGUCUCGCCCCAUUCCGAGUCCGGCGGACGAACUUCGCCCGCGCCCCCCACCAAGGCUAUAGCCCACCCGUUUUUUGGCCAUUUUUCCGCUGGGGGGUUUUGGCACCACGACCUUCGGGAGCUUAUUUUUGGGCGCGGCUUUGCCCGCGGCUUAUUUUUGGCACCCCGAAGCCCCUCGCAAAUUCUCGCCCCAUUCCGAGUCCGGCGGACGAACUUCGCCCGCGCCCCCCACCAAGGCUAUAGCCCACCCGUUUUUUGGCCAUUUUUCCGCUGGGGGGUUUUGGCACCACGACCUUCGGGAGCUUAUUUUUGGGCGCGGCUUUGCCCGCGGCUUAUUUUUGGCACCCCGAGGCCCCUCGCAAAGUCUCGCCCCAUUCCGAGUCCGGCGGACGAACUUCGCCCGCGCCCCCCACCAAGGCUAUAGCCCACCCGUUUUUUGGCCAUUUUUCCGCUGGGGGGUUUUGGCACCACGACCUUCGGGUGCUUAUUUUUGGGCGCGGCUGUGCCCGCGACUUCCCGCGGGCACCCCGAGGCCCCUCGCAAAAUCUCGCCCCAUUCCGAGUCCGGCGGACGAACUUCGCCCGCGCCCCCCACCAAGGCUAUAGCCCACCCGUUUUUUGGCCAUUUUUCCGCUGGGGGGUUUUGGCACCACGACCUUCGGGCGCUUAUUUUUGGGCGCGGCUUUGUCCGCGGCUUAUUUUUGGCACCCCGAGGCCCCUCGCAGAGUCUCGGCCCAUUCCGAGUCCGGCGGACGAACUUCGCCCGCGCCCCCCACCAAGCCUAUAGCCCACCCGUUUUUUGGCCAUUUUUCCGCUGGGGGGUUUUGGCACCACGACCUUCGGGUGCUUAUUUUUGGGCGCGGCUGUGCCCGCGACUUCCCGCGGGCACCCCGAGGCCCCUCGCAAAGUCUCGCCCCAUUCCGAGUCCGGCGGACGAACUUCGCCCGCGCCCCCCACCAAGGAUAUAGCCCACCCAUUUUUUGGCCAUUUUUCCGCUGGGGGGUUUUGGCACCACGACCUUCGGGUGCUUAUUUUUGGGCGCGGCUUUGCCCGCGGCUUAUUUUUGGCACCCCGAGGCCCCUCGCAAAGGCUCGCCCCAUUCCGAGUAUGGCGGACGAACUUCGCCCGCGGGCCCACCAAGGCUAUAGCCCACCCGUUUUUUGGCCAUUUUUCCGCUGGGGGGUUUUGGCACCACGACCUUCGGGCGCUGAUUUUUGCUCGAGACUUUGCCCGCGGCUUAUUUUUGGCACCCCGAGGCCCCUCGCAAAGUCUCGCCCCAUUCCGAGUCCGGCGGACGAACUUCGCCCGCGCCCCCCACCAAGGCUAUAGCCCACCCGUUUAUUGGCCAUUUUUCCGCUGGUNNNNNNNNNNNNNNNNNNNNNNNNNNNNNNNNNNNNNNNNNNNNNNNNNNNNNNNNNNNNNNNNNNNNNNNNNNNNNNNNNNNNNNNNNNNNNNNNNNNNNNNGAGUCUGGCGGACGAACUUCGCCCGCGCCCCCCACCAAGGCUAUAGCCCACCCGUUUUUUGGCCAUUUUUCCGCUGGGGGGUUUUGGCACCACGACCUUCGGGUGCUUAUUUUUGGACGUGGCUGUGCGCGCGACUUCCCGCGGGCACCCCGAGGCCCCUCGCAAAGUCUCGCCCCAUUCCGAGUUCGGCUGACGAACUUCGCCCGCGCCCCCCACCAAGGNNNNNNNNNNNNNNNNNNNNNNNNNNNNNNNNNNNNNNNNNNNNNNNNNNNNNNNNNNNNNNNNNNNNNNNNNNNNNNNNNNNNNNNNNNNNNNNNNNNNNNNNNNNNNNNNNNNNNNNUCGCAAAGUCUCGCCCCAUUCCGAGUCCGGCGGACGAACUUCGCCCGCACCCCCCACCAAGGCUAUAGCCCACCCGUUUUUUGGCCAUUUUUCCGCUGGGGGGUUUUGGCACCACGACCAUCGGGUGCUUAUUUUUGGGCGCGGCUGUGCCCGCGACUUCCAGCGGGCACCCCGAGGGCCCUCGCAAAGUCUCGCCCCAUUCCGAGUCCGGCGGACGAACUUCGCCCGCGCCCCCCACCAAGGCUAUAGCCCACCCGUUUUUUGGCCAUUUUUCCGCUGGGGAGUUUUGGCACCACGACCCUCGGGCGUUUAUUUUGGGGCGUGACUUUGCCCGCGGCUAAUUUUUGGUACCCCGAGGCCCCUCGCAAAGUCUCGCCCCAUUCCGAGUCCGGCGGACGAACUUCGCCCGCGCCCCCCUCCAAGGCUAUAGCCCUCCCGUUUUUUGGCCAUUUUUCCGCUGGGGGGUUUUGGCACCACGACCUUCGGGCACUUAUUUUUGGGCGCGGCUGUGCCUGCGACUUCCCGCGGGCACACCGAGGUCCCUCGGAAAGUCUCGCCCCAUUCCGAGUCCGGCGGACGAACUUCGCCCGCGCCCCCCACCAAGGCUAUAGCCCACCCAUUUUUUGGCCAUUUUUCCGCUGGGGGGUUUUGGCACCACGACCUUCGGGUGCUUAUUUUUGGACGUGGCUGUGCGCGCGACUUCCCGCAGGCACCCCGAGGCCCCUCUCAAAGUCUCGCCCCAUUCCGAGUCCGGCGGACGAACUUCGCCCGCGCCCCCCACCAAGGCUAUAGCCCACCCAUUUUUUGGCCAUUUUUCCGCUGGGGGGUUUUGGCACCACGACCUUCGGUCGUUUAUUUUUGGGCGCGACUUUGCCCGCGGCUUAUUUUUGGCAUCCCGAGGCCCCUCGCAAAGUCUCGCCCCAUUCCGAGUCCGGCGGACGAACUUCGCCCGCGCCCCCCACCAAGGCUAUAGCCCACCCGUUUUUUGGCCAUUUUUCCGCUGGUGGGUUUUGGCACCACGACCUUCGGGUGCUUAUUUUUGGGCGCGGCUGUGCCCGCGACUUCCAACGGGCACCCCGAGGGCCCUCGCAAAGUCUCGCCCCAUUCCGAGUCCGGCGGACGAACUUCGCCCGCGCCCCCCACCAAGGCUAUAGCCCACCUUCUUUUGGCCAUUUUUCCGCGGGGGGGUUUUGGCACCACGACCUUCGGNNNNNNNNNNNNNNNNNNNNNNNNNNNNNNNNNNNNNNNNNNNNNNNNNNNNNNNNNNNNNNNNNNNNNNNNNNNNNNNNNNNNNNNNNNNNNNNNNNNNUAUUUUUGGGCGCGGCUUUGCCCGCGGCUUAUUUUUGGCACCCCGAAGCCCCUCGCAAAUUCUCGCCCCAUUCCGAGGCCGGCGGACGAACUUCGCCCGCGCCCCCCACCAAGGCUAUAGCCCACCCGUUUUUUGGCCAUUUUUCCGCUGGUGGGUUUUGGCACCACGACCUUCGGGUGCUUAUUUUUGGGCGCGGCUGUGCCCGCGACUUCCAGCGGGCACCCCGAGGGCCCUCGCAAAGUCUCGCCCCAUUCCGAGUCCGGCGGACGAACUUCGCCCGCGCCCCCCACCAAGGCUAUAGCCCACCCGUUUUUUGGCCAUUUUUCCGCUGGGGGGUUUUGGCACCACGACCUUCGGGAGCUUAUUUUUGGGCUCGGCUUUGCCAGCGGCAUAUUUUUGGCACCCCGAGGCCCCUCGCAACGUCUCGCCCCAUUCCGAGUCCGGCGGACGAACUUCGCCCGUGCCCCCGACCAAGGCUAUAGCCCACCCGUUUUUUGGCCAUUUUUCCGCUGGGGGGUUUUGGCACCACGACCUUCGGGCGCUUAUUUUUGGGCGCGGCUUUGCCCGUGGCUUAUUUUUGGCACCCCGAGGCCCCUCGCAAAGUCUCGGCCCAUUCCGAGUCCGGCGGACGAACUUCGCCCGCGCCCCCCACCAAGGCUAUAGCCCACCCGUUUUUUGGCCAUUUUUCCGCUGGGGGGUUUUGGCACCACGACCUUCGGGUGCUUAUUUUUGGGCGCGGCUGUGCCCGCGACUUCCCGCGGGCACCCCGAGGCCCCUCGCAAAGUCUCGCCCCAUUCCGAGUCCGGCGGACGAACUUCGCCCGCGCCCCCCACCAAGGAUAUAGCCCACCCAUUUUUUGGCCAUUUUUCCGCUGGGGGGUUUUGGCACCACGACCUUCGGGUGCUUAUUUUUGGGCGCGGCUGUGCCCCCGACUUCCCGCGGGCACCCCGAGGCCCCUCGCAAAGUCUCGCCCCAUUCCGAGUCCGGCGGACGAACUUCGCCCGCGCCCCCCACCAAGGCUAUAGCCCACCCGUUUUUUGGCCAUUUUUCCGCUGGGGGGUUUUGGCACCACGACCUUCGGGAGCUUAUUUUUGGGCGCGACUUUGCCCGCGGCUUAUUUUUGGCACCCCGAGGCCCCUUGCAAAGUCUCGCCCCAUUCCGAGUCCGGCGGACGAACUUCGCCCGCGCCCCCCACCAAGGCUAUAGCCCACCCGUUUUUUGGCCAUUUUUCCGCUGGGGGGUUUUGGCACCACGACCUUCGGGUGCUUAUUUUUGGGCGCGGCUGUGCCCGCGACUUCCCGCGGGCACCCCGAGGCCCCUCGCAAAGUCUCGCCCCAUUCCGAGUCCGGCGGACGAACUUCGCCCGCGCCCCCCACCAAGGAUAUAGCCCACCUGUUUUUUGGCCAUUUUUCCGCUGGGGGGUUUUGGCACCACGACCUUCGGGCGCUUAUUUUUGGGCGCGGCUGUGCCCGCGACUUCCCGCAGGCACCCCGAGGCCCCUCGCAAAGUCUCGCCCCAUUCCGAGUCGGGCGGACGAACUUCGCCCGCGCCCCCCACCAAGGCUAUAGCCCACCCGUUUUUUGGCCAUUUUUCCGCUGGGGGGUUUUGGCACCACGACCUUCGGUCGCUUAUUUUUGAGCGCGGCUUUGCCCGCGGCUUAUUUUUGGCGCCCCAAGGCCCCUCGCAAAGUCUCGCCCCAUUCCGAGUCCGGCGGACGAACUUCGCCCGCGCCCCCCACCAAGGCUAUAGCCCACCCGUUUUUUGGCCAUUUUUCCGCUGGGGGGUUUUGGCACCACGACCUUCGGGAGCUUAUUUUUGGGCUCGGCUUUGCCAGCGGCAUAUUUUUGGCACCCCGAGGCCCCUCGCAACGUCUCGCCCCAUUCCGAGUCCGGCGGACGAACUUCGCCCGUGCCCCCGACCAAGGCUAUAGCCCACCCGUUUUUUGGCCAUUUUUCCGCUGGGGGGUUUUGGCACCACGACCUUCGGGCGCUUAUUUUUGGGCGCGGCUUUGCCCGUGGCUUAUUUUUGGCACCCCGAGGCCCCUCGCAAAGUCUCGGCCCAUUCCGAGUCCGGCGGACGAACUUCGCCCGCGCCCCCCACCAAGGCUAUAGCCCACCCGUUUUUUGGCCAUUUUUCCGCUGGGGGGUUUUGGCACCACGACCUUCGGGUGCUUAUUA
rnacentral:lncRNA from 1 species